rnacentral:rRNA from 1 species
CCCCUUAGAUGUCCUGGGCUGCACGCGCGCUACACUGAUGUGUCCAGUAAGCACCUAACCUCUUCCGAAAGGAACGGGUAACCUUUGCAAAGCACAUCGUGAUGGGGAUAGAUUAUUGCAAUUAUUAGUCUUGAACGAGGAAUUCCUAGUAAGCACAAGUCAUCAGCUUGUGUUGAUUACGUCCCUGCCCUUUGUACACACCGCCCGUCGCUCCUACCGAUUGAAUGUUCCGGUGAGCUCUUCGGACUGCGCGGUCUGCAGUUUCUGCGUUCCGUGCGGAAAGUUGCGCAAACCUUAACAUUUAGAGGAAGGAGAAGUCGUAACA